GUGAAAGCCUUAGCUCCUCCCACCUUCUCGUCCGGGCGUGUGGGGACAGAGAGUGGCAGGGUUGUCGGGGGUGGGCGCCAAUUAAUGUCCCAGCCCUUGGAAUCGGGCCGAGUCUGAUUCGGAGGAUUUCCAGCGGCCAGCACAGAGUGGGAACGCGUAAAUGUGUGUGUCAUGAUCGAGGAUCGGUGUCCACUAAGUGUGUUUUCGCGGCCCCCCAGCCCUAGAAGGAAGGGCUCCGGCUGAGAUAAAUACAUAACUCCUUAGAGGCUGGCUAAAGAGAGUUUUGAAUUGCUAGUGACUUUUGAAGGUACAAAGACAAGGAGUGUCUGUGGUUCUGCCCUUCCUCUGCCACUGGAUCCUGAAGCCGGUCAAGUGCCACUGGACUUCAUUUACUGUCUUCUCUGCCUUCUGCUGGCCUUAGGGGAAAAAAAAAGUGAGGUCAUAUUUGAUGUCCUUUUCUUUGGCUAGAAAUCUGAACUGGUCUUUGGAAAUACAAGGUCUUAACAAGGAUGGUGUAUGCUUUGGACUUUGGCAUUUCCAUGAUGAGUUUAGGACUUUGGCUCCUUCCCAGACUGUACAUGCUGAGACCUUGGGGAGCACGGCUUCCAGUCAAUGUGCCUGGAUCUCCUCUCUUCUCUUCUGCCUGUCCCUGCCAGCCCUCCUUCACUCCAGACUCCCUGUCAGCCCUCCCUCACCUCCAGACUCCCUGUCAGCCCUCCCUCACUUCCAGACCCAAAAGAAGGUCAGCUGCAAUAAGGACUGACUGACUUGGGAUGGGAAGGGCAAAACUGAAUUGAAGCAAGAGUUCUACUUCAGCAUCUGGUGCACAGAUUUAGUAACUUUAGUGAAAUUAAAAACCAAGACAAAACAAAUGCAGAGCCUAUAUUACAAGAUUUGUUAUAGGAUCCUUAAUUUAUCUGCUUGGCUUUUGAUGAAAUUGUUUUUUUUUUUUUUUUUUUUUUUUUUUUUCUUGCACUGAAAUGUAUAAUGUCCUCUACUAGUUAAGCUCUGGAAUCUUUUCCAGUCAACUUCCUCCCUCUGGGAUGUAAUAAAGAGACAACUUAUGACCCAAAAGCAUGUGGGAGACAAAUUUUCCAUGGGAAAAAAAAAGGUUUUUACUAUAUGUUAUGUUUCUCAAAGGAAAGGGGGUCAAAACAUAGAUAACAAUCCUCUGUAACCACUUACUGAAUACCAGAUUUGUUUUGAGAAUAGUAAAAUGUAGUUUGUUAUUUUUGAAAAGAUGAGUAUUUUGUCACAGAUGUUUUAAUUUCUAUAACAUCCAUGUGUAAAUUAGAAUAAAGAAGAAAUUAAAAUUAGCUACUGUAUCUGCAUAUUCUAUUUCCUCCCCAAAAAAGGGUGAGCAAAGAGAUACAGAGUGUCAUAUAGGUGGAAGCAGACCUCGUCUGUCUGGGGGUCAGAUGACUGAAGACUUUUAUCCUUGACCCGCCACUUCCUAGUGUGACCUUGAGCUCAGCCUCACUCUCCUAAGAUGUGAAAUGGGAACAAUUAUACUCCCAAGAAUGUUUGUGAGAAAUAAAUAAUUUGUGCAAAAUACUUGGCUCUAGCACGAAUUCAAUACAUGAUAGUUGAUAAUAUAACUCAACACAGGAUUGUCAAAGUUCUAAUAGUUUUAAU
rnacentral:lncRNA from 9 species